UCCGAAUUGGUGUAGUGGCCAACAUUUGACGCUCUCAAGAAGGUGCCGUCAAGCCCGGGGUUCGAUUCCCCGAUUCGGAG
rnacentral:tRNA from 1 species